rnacentral:rRNA from 1 species
AUUGAACGCUGGCGGCAGGCCUAACACAUGCAAGUCGAGCGGAUGAAGGGAGCUUGCUCCUGGAUUCAGCGGCGGACGGGUGAGUAAUGCCUAGGAAUCUGCCUGGUAGUGGGGGAUAACGUCCGGAAACGGGCGCUAAUACCGCAUACGUCCUGAGGGAGAAAGUGGGGGAUCUUCGGACCUCACGCUAUCAGAUGAGCCUAGGUCGGAUUAGCUAGUUGGUGGGGUAAAGGCCUACCAAGGCGACGAUCCGUAACUGGUCUGAGAGGAUGAUCAGUCACACUGGAACUGAGACACGGUCCAGACUCCUACGGGAGGCAGCAGUGGGGAAUAUUGGGCAAUGGGCGAAAGCCUGAUCCAGCCAUGCCGCGUGUGUGAAGAAGGUCUUCGGAUUGUAAAGCACUUUAAGUUGGGAGGAAGGGCAGUAAGUUAAUACCUUGCUGUUUUGACGUUACCAACAGAGUAAGCGCCGGCUAACUUCGUG